rnacentral:rRNA from 1 species
AGCGAACGCUGGCGGCAGGCCUAACACAUGCAAGUCGAACGAACUCUUCGGAGUUAGUGGCGGACGGGUGAGUAACACGUGGGAACGUGCCCUUUGGUUCGGCAUAACUCAGGGAAACUUGUGCUAAUACCGAAUGUGCCCUUCGGGGGAAAGAUUUAUCGCCAUUAGAGCGGCCCGCGUCUGAUUAGCUAGUUGGUGAGGUAACGGCUCACCAAGGCGACGAUCAGUAACUGGUCUGAGAGGAUGACCAGCCACACUGGGACUGAGACACGGCCCAGACUCCUACGGGAGGGAGCAGUGGGGAAUCUUGCGCAAUGGGCGAAAGCAUGACGCAGCCAGGCCGCGUGAAUGAUGAAGGUCUUAGGAUUGUAAAAUUCUUUCACCGGGGACGAUAAUGACGGUACCCGGAGAAGAAGCCCCGGCUAACUUCGUG